rnacentral:sRNA from 1 species
ACGGCCAAGGAUGGCAGUGGUUUCAAACGGAAUCGAGUUCGCACUGUGAACUCGCAGACAAAGAAUGUACACGAAUGUUCAUUCUUUGUCGUGC